GGGCGGUUAGCUCAGUUGGCUAGAGCACCUCGUUUACACCGAGGGGGUCAUAGGUUCGAGUCCUAUACCGCCCACCA
rnacentral:tRNA from 1 species